AUUGCAGGCUGCAACUCGCCUGCAUGAAGUCGGAAUUGCUAGUAAUCGUGGAUCAGCAUGCCACGGUGAAUACGUUCCCGGGCCUUGUACACACCGCCCGUCGCACCAUGGGAGUCGGUAACACCCGAAGCCUGUAGUCUAACCGCAAGGAGGACGCAGUCGAAGGUGGGAUUGAUGACUGGGGUGAAGUCGUAACAAGGUACC
rnacentral:rRNA from 1 species